CGGUGUCGGGUUGUACCUCUGAUGUCCCCAAUGUCCCCAAAGCCCCAAUACCCCAAUGUCCUGCUGUCCCCAAGGAUGUCCCUCACUCGGUGGCAGUGACACUGACCCGGUGCCAGGCAUUGCUGAGGACCCUGUGCAGGUUCCAGAUGUCCCCAAUGACCCCAAUGUCCCUGCUGUGUCCCCAAUACCCCAAUGUCCUGCUGUCCCUCACUUGGUGACGGUGACGGGCACGCGGUGCCAGGUGUUGCUGAGGACCCCACACAGGUUCCAGAUGUCCCCAAUGACCCCAAUGUCCCUGCUGUGUCCCCAAUGUCCCCAAAGCCCCAGUGACCCCAAUGUCCCUGCUGUGUCCCCAAUACCCCAAUGUCCUGGUGUCCCCAAGGAUGUCCCUCACCCUCGGUGUUGGGUUGUACCUCUGAUGUCCCCAAUACCCCAAUACCCCAAUGUCCUGCUGUCCCUCACUUGGUGGCAGUGACACUGACCCGGUGCCAGGCGUUGCUGAGGACCCCGCUCAGGUUCCAGAUGUCCCCAAUGACCCCAAUGUCCCUGCUGUGUCCCCAAUACCCCAAUGUCCUGCUGUCCCCAAGGAUGUCCCUCACUUGGUGACGGUGAUGGGCACGCGGUGCCAGGCAUUGCUGAGGACCCUGUGCAGGUUCCAGAUGGGCCCCACGUUGUCAGGUUGUACCUCUGAUGUCCCCAAUGUUCCCAAAGCCCCAAUACCCCAAUGUUCUGCUGUCCCUCACUUGGUGACGGUGACGGGCACGCGG
rnacentral:lncRNA from 1 species